UACAGGGGGGGCAAGCGUUGUCCGGAAUUAUUGGGCGUAAAGGGCUCGUAGGCGGUUUGUUGCGUCAGGAGUGAAAACUCGGGGCUUAACCCCGAGCCUGCUUCUGAUACGGGCAGACUAGAGGUAUGCAGGGGAGAACGGAAUUCCUGGUGUAGCGGUGAAAUGCGUAGAUAUCAGGAGGAACACCUGUGGCGAAGGCGGCAUCCUGGACCGACACUGACGCUGAUGAGCGAAAGCCAGGGAGCAAACGGG
rnacentral:rRNA from 1 species